rnacentral:rRNA from 1 species
AUUGAACGCUGGCGGCAUGCUUUACACAUGCAAGUCGGACGGCAGCACAGAGAAGCCUGCUUCUUGGGUGGCGAGUGGCGAACGGGUGAGUAACAUAUCGGAACGUACCGAGCAGUGGGGGAUAACUAAUCGAAAGAUUAGCUAAUACCGCAUAUUUUCUGAGGAAGAAAGCAGGGGACUUUUGGGCCUUGCGCUGUUUGAGUGGCCGAUAUCUGAUUAGCUAGUUGGUGGGGUAAAGGCCUACCAAGGCGACGAUCAGUAGCGGGUCUGAGAGGAUGAUCCGCCACACUGGGACUGAGACACGGCCCAGACUCCUACGGGAGGCAGCAGUGGGGAAUUUUGGACAAUGGGCGCAAGCCUGAUCCAGCCAUGCCGCGUGUCUGAAGAAGGCCUUCGGGUUGUAAAGGACUUUUGUCAGGGAAGAAAAGGGCGGGGUUAAUACCCCUGUCUGAUGACGGUACCUGAAGAAUAAGCACCGGCUAACUACGUG